UGUGGCUUUUGUCCGAUUUUGGGGGUUUUGGGUGCAUUUUUUGUCUGGGGUGUCCCCAGGUGCUGAUCGGGGACGAGCCCGAGGCCGGCAUGGAGAACCUGCUGGAGGUGACAAUUCCCCCCGAGCUGGAGCGGCGCCUCGGGGACAGCGACGGGGACGAGGGGACGGAGACACGGACAGGGACAACGUGACACCGGCACGGCGCCGCGGGGACAGCGGGGACAGCCACCAAGGAGCCAUCAAAGGACACUGUGUCCCCAAGGGUCACCAUGGUGACAGUGAGAUGUCCCCAGGGAGCCGGUAAAGGAUCCCAAGGGUCACUGUGGUGACAAUGAAAUGUCCCCAAAAGUCAUUGUGGUGACAGUGAGGUGUCCCCAAGGGCCACCAUGGUGACAAUGAAAUGUCCCCAAGGGUCAUUGUGGUGACACUGUGGUGUCCCCAAGGAGCCAUUAAAGGACACUGUGUCCCCAAGGGUGACCACGGUGACAAUGAAAUGUCCCCAAGGGUCACUGUGGUGUCAUUUGUGUCCCCAAGGAGCCAUCAAAGGACACUGUGUCUCCAAGGGCCACCACGGUGACAAUGAGAUGUCCCCAAAGGUGGCCAUGGUGGUGGCUGUGUGUCUCCAAGGGUCACCACGGUGACAAAGCGGUGUCCCCAAGGAGCCACCGCAGGACACUGUGGACCCCAGGGGUCACGGUGGUGGCAGUGCUCUGUGCCCAAGGAGCCACCACAAGGACAGGGGGCACCGUGGGGACACUGUGGUGUCCCCAGAGUGUCCCCGAGGUGACAGAGAUGUCCCCAAGGGCUCCGUGGUGG